AUUGAACGCUGGCGGCAGGCCUAACACAUGCAAGUCGAGCGGAGCGGCGGACGGGUGAGUAAUACCUAGGAAUCUGCCUGGUAGUGGGGGAUAACGUCCGGAAACGGGCGCUAAUACCGCAUACUAUCAGAUGAGCCUAGGUCGGAUUAGCUAGUGGGUGUGGUAAAGGCCUACCGAGGCGACGAUCCGUAACUGGUCUGCUAGGAUGAUCAGUCACACUGUACCUUGGACACGGUCCAGACUCCUACGGGAUGCAGCAGUGGGGAAUAUUGGGCAAUGGGCGAAAGCCUGAACCAGUCAUGCCUCGUGUGUGAAGAAGGGCUUGGGAUUGUAAAGCACUUUAAGUUGGGAGGCGUUACCAACAGAAUAAGCACCGGCUAACUUCGUGCCAGCAGCCGCGGUAAUAC
rnacentral:rRNA from 1 species